CGUUCGGGGGUAAACGGACAGAGCCCGUGAAUCUGGGCGGCGAAAUUCAGGAUGGCCGGUCGCGUCUCGCACGUUGCCGGUCGUUUGAUAUUUUCGUCGCCGUGGCAGACGUCGCGACCUGUUCGUCGUCGGUCCUUGCUCGGAGGAACCGCGUUCGAGUUCGUUGUGGGUGCGUUUCGGCGUGCCUGACGGCGAAGGCGCGAGUCUCUGGCCGACGACAGACAGUAAGCAACGGUGUCCGAUGCUUCGUUUCGCACGUCGCAUCGAUACCGGUCAGCGACGAUUUCUUCGGGCCUCUUUCCGACCCGUCUUGAAACACGGACCAAGGAGUCUAACAUGCGCGCGAGUCGCGGGGUAUCGAGCGUGCUACGGUGCGCUCGUUACAUCACGAAACCCGUAUGUUGAAGGCGUAAUGAAAGUGAAUAGGGAAGAUGGCGUUCCGAGUUCACGUUCCGUGAUCCAGUAUCACGGCCGGACGCCCGCAUUCCCGGGGCGUCUCAAUGGCUCGUCGCGGACGCGGACUGUCGUCUUUCGGGUCGGCAGUCGGUCUGCGACGGACCGAGGCGCACCUAUAGCGUGCACGUUGGUACCCGAAAGAUGGUGAACUAUGCCUGGCCAGGAUGAAGUCAGGGGAAACCCUGAUGGAGGUCCGCAGCGAUUCUGACGUGCAAAUCGAUCGUCUGAGCUGGGUAUAGGGGCGAAAGACUAAUCGAACCAUC
rnacentral:rRNA from 1 species